CCUACGAGAGGCAGCAGUGGGGAAUAUUGGACAAUGGGGGCAACCCUGAUCCAGCCAUGCCGCGUGUGUGAAGAAGGCCCUCGGGUUGUAAAGCACUUUCAGUGAGGAAGAACGCCUGGUGGUUAAUACCCAUCAGGAAAGACAUCACUCACAGAAGAAGCACCGGCUAACUCCGUGCCAGCAGCCGCGGUAAUACGGAGGGUGCGAGCGUUAAUCGGAAUUACUGGGCGUAAAGCGCGCGUAGGUGGCUUGAUAAGCCGGUUGUGAAAGCCCCGGGCUCAACCUGGGAACGGCAUCCGGAACUGUCAAGCUAGAGUGCAGGAGAGGAAGGUAGAAUUCCCGGUGUAGCGGUGAAAUGCGUAGAGAUCGGGAGGAAUACCAGUGGCGAAGGCGGCCUUCUGGACUGACACUGACACUGAGGUGCGAAAGCGUGGGUAGCAAACAGGAUUAGAUACCCCGGUAGUC
rnacentral:rRNA from 1 species